rnacentral:rRNA from 1 species
UACGGAGGGUGCGAGCGUUGUUCGGAAUCACUGGGCGUAAAGGGCGUGUAGGCGGUCCGCUAAGUCUGAUGUGAAAGCCCGGGGCUCACCCCCGGAAGGGCAUUGGAAACUGGCGGACUCGAGUCCCGGAGAGGAGGGUGGAAUUCCUGGUGUAGCGGUGAAAUGCGUAGAUAUCAGGAGGAACACCGGUGGCGAAGGCGGCCCUCUGGACGGUGACUGACGCUAAGACGCGAAAGCGUGGGGAGCAAACAGG